rnacentral:rRNA from 1 species
UACGUAGGGUGCAAGCGUUGUCCGGAAUUAUUGGGCGUAAAGAGCUCGUAGGCGGCUUGUCGCGUCGGCUGUGAAAACCUGGGGCUCAACCCCGGGCCUGCAGCCGAUACGGGCAAGCUAGAGUUCGGUAGGGGAGACUGGAAUUCCUGGUGUAGCGGUGAAAUGCGCAGAUAUCAGGAGGAACACCGAUGGCGAAGGCAGGUCUCUGGGCCGAUACUGACACUGAGGAGCGAAAGCGUGGGGAGCGAACAGG